GUGCAGACUAGACUGGGGGGUUAGGCGUCCCCUGUAACUGGAAAUCGCCUUAGCCAGGGUCGAAGUUGCCAAGGCGGCACAUGCAUCUAGCAGGAAUCCAGCAUUUAACAAUGAUAUCUCGUCCUCUGGGAUUGGGGGUGAAAGACUGGAUAUCUGGAAGGAUAUCUGGUCUUUCUUUACCCUGGACAUCGGGCUAGGCCCGGAAGGGAGCAACCCAGCCAGGAACUACCAAUGCUCAGAGGGGUGCGGGAUGGAGGAGAAUGCUGGGCAAAUUCCUGUUGGAUGUAUGUGUCCACUUGGAACGCGUCUGCAC
rnacentral:SRP_RNA from 1 species